UUAACUUUAUUUAUCUGAAGUAAUAAGAAAAUUAUCACAUUUUGUUUGAACAUAUUUAUUAAAUACAUUUUUUUAAUUCUUUAAAAUAUAAGUAUUUAUAAAUAUUUUAAUAGCAAUAUUCAGACAUUUAUUUAAGAAACAAUAUGGCUAGUCUAAAAGAGGGAAGUAUUGAGUUUUAAGGUUUUAAGAUGUUUUUUAAUUAUCACAGGAUGUUAUAUAAUUUUUUUAGAAUAUGUUCUGAAAUAAAUUAAAUAUACAAUCAUAAAAUGCUACUCAAGUGCAAUACAAAAAUGGAAAUGUAGUUUUGAUACUAAAUACUGCAAAAACUGAAUCUUUCAAUAAUCAUGAGUGUUUUGUAUUUUUCACUUGCUAUAAUAUUAAACCCUCACCAACUGAUUUAAUGGUUUGAUGUCAGGUUAUCUUGAGUCAAGACUUUAAAUUUUAAAUGGUAACAUAGUAUUUAUGUUAUAUUAUUGUUGUUUACAAGUCUGUUUAUGUCAUGCCUAAUUAUUAACAUCAGUUAUUUACGAUGAAAUAACAUUGUUUUAGAUUCCCUGCAGGAUGCCUGUUAAAAAGAAAAACUGAAGAAACUUUAAAACUAGAUGAUGCCAACUAAAGAAUUUAAAACACCGUUAUUUAUGGUGUCAUAUCGAGGCUUCAGUUUUUCAGUAUUUAUUUUUAUAUUUUAGUAUAUAUGUUAUGUUCAUUUUAUUUUUUAUUUUUGUUAUUUUUGUAACAACAAACUAUGUGAAUAAUUGUCCUGCCCUGGGCCUCUACUUCCAUCUGGCUAUUAUUAUUACACGUAUACCGAUUUGUAUAUUGUAUUGAGUUAGCUUGUGAUUUGUACGUGUGUUUUUAUUUGCCUAGUGUUUGUUAGUUAUAUGCAAGAUAUGGCAUGGUAUAGCACACUGCAUGUAUAAAAGUGGAUAAAAGCACUAAAGAAAACGAUAACGAUAAACUUUCAAGCAGAAUUUUGUCAUGCGAUUAUGGUGGCGAUAUGAGAGAACUACUUUGGUAAUAUUACUAUCGUAGUUUUGCAUCAAAUCAUUGUAUAAUAUUAGUUUUUUGACUAAAAAUAUUAUGAAAUUCAAA